rnacentral:rRNA from 1 species
CAGAAGCCCGAGUGGUGGUCGUUUUUAUUGGGCCUAAAGCGUCCGUAGCCGGUCUAGUAAAUCCUUGGAUAAAUCGUACAGCUUAACUGUACGGCUCCCGGGGAGACUGCUAGACUUGGGACUGGGAGAGGUCGGAGGUACUCCAGGGGUAGGGGUGAAAUCUUGUAAUCCUUGGGGGACCACCAGUGGCGAAGGCGUCCGACUAGAACGGGUCCGACGGUAGGGGACGAAACCCUGGGGCGCGAACCGGAUUAGAUACCCGAGUAGUCC